GAAGUUGAUGAUACGGAUCAGCAGGAAGCACCAGCACCAGAAAGUCCACCAGCUGCUCCACUCAGAAGAUCCAACAGGGGUCGAAUUCCUUCCAGCAGGUAUCCCUCAGAUCAAUACGUGGUGUUAUUAUCUGACGGUUCAGAACAUGAAUGCUUUGCAGAUGCAAUGAAAGAUGAGCACAAGAAGGAGUGGAAAAAGGCUAUGCAAGAAGAGAUGGAUUCCUUGCAUAAGAAUCAUACUUAUGAGUUGGUGAAGUUGCCCAAGGGCAAGAAAUUUUUGAAGAAUAAGUGGGUCUACAGAAUCAAGCAAGAACAGCACACAUCACAUCCAAGGUACAAAGCCAGGCUAGUUGUAAAAGGAUUUGGCCAGAGAGAAGGCAUUGACUAUGAUGAAAUUUUUUCUCCGGUUGUGAAGAUGGCAUCUAUAAGAGUAAUCCUU
rnacentral:rRNA from 1 species